rnacentral:rRNA from 1 species
GACGAAGGUGGCGAGCGUUGUUCGGAAUCACUGGGCUUAAAGCGCACGUAGGCGGCCCGUUAAGUGCCUUGUGAAAUCCCUCGGCUCAACCGAGGAAUGGCUGGGCAUACUGGCGGGCUUGAGGCAGGUAGGGGCGCGAGGAACUCUUGGUGGAGCGGUGAAAUGCGUAGAUAUCAAGAGGAACGCCGGUGGUGAAGACGUCGCGCUAGGCCUGCCCUGACGCUGAGGUGCGAAAGCCAGGGGAGCAAAC